UACGUAGGGACCAAGCGUUGUUCGGAUUUACUGGGCGUAAAGGGCGCGUAGGCGGCAAAUUAAGUCAUCUGUGAAAUCUCCGAGCUUAACUCGGAACGGUCAGGUGAUACUGAUCUGCUAGAGUGCGGAAGGGGCAAUCGGAAUUCUUGGUGUAGCGGUGAAAUGCGUAGAGAUCGGGAGGAACACCUGUGGCGAAGGCGGCCGACUGGGCCGACCCUGACGCUGAGGCGCGAAGGCGUGGGGAGCGAACGGG
rnacentral:rRNA from 1 species